rnacentral:rRNA from 1 species
GGACUACUGGGGUAUCUAAUCCUGUUUGCUCCCCACGCUUUCGCGUCUCAGCGUCAGUAUCCGUCCAGAUGGCCGCCUUCGCCACCGGUGUUCCUCCCCAUAUCUACGAAUUUCACCUCUACUUGGGGAAUUCCGCCAUCCUCUCCGGUACUCGAGCCGUGCAGUUUCGGGCGCACUUCCUCGGUUAAGCCGAGGGCUUUCACACCCGACUUGCAUGGCCGCCUACACGCGCUUUACGCCCAAUAAUUCCGAACAACGCUUGCACCCUCUGUAUUACCGCGGCUGCUGGCAC